UACGUAGGGUGCGAGCGUUGUCCGGAAUUACUGGGCGUAAAGAGCUCGUAGGCGGCUUGUUGCGUCAGCUGUGAAAACCCGCAGCUCAACUGUGGGCUUGCAGCUGAUACGGGCAGGCUUGAGUGCGGCAGAGGAGACUGGAAUUCCUGGUGUAGCAGUGAAAUGCGUAGAUAUCAGGAGGAAUACCGAUGGCGAAGGCAGGUCUCUGGGCUGACACUGACGCUCAUGCACGAAAGCGUGGGGAGCAAACAGG
rnacentral:rRNA from 1 species